GGGACUAUAGUUAAUAAUAACAUUUGAGUUGCAUUCAAAAAGUACUACCCAUACAGUAGUUAGCCUCA
rnacentral:tRNA from 1 species